CGUAGCUGUACAUUCAGACCACAAGAGGGCGCUAGUAUUCUACCGGUGCAGCAGACAGAUGCCCCGAUGGAGUCUGGUCGGCGUGCAUUCCAACUGAACAAAAGCAAGCCCAAAGCACGAUUCUGCCACCAUCAUACUUCAAUUGCAGGUAUGGAGUUGUUUUGGCGAGUAAAGUUGUUUGCACCAAAAACACCUAUUGGAAUUGUAGCCAAAAAAAAGUGUUAUGGUCCAAUAACACCUUGAUUUUUAUCAGCCCAUAAUACAUUUUCCUAAUGAUGUGGAGGAGACCUUUCCAUCGUCCAAUGAAAACAAGGUUUAACCAUUUGGCCAUAAAUGCAAAGGGUGCUCAUUACCAAAAGUGCCCCACAGCUACCGUAAAGCAUGUAGGUGGCAGCAUCAUGGUUUAAUUACAUUUUGGUUCCGCGAGAACUGAGGCUUUAGAAAAGUUCACGGACAGACCGAAAUAAUGUUAAGCACAAAACUUUGAGGCUUCUGUAAAAAAAAUAAAA